GACCGCAUAGCUUAGUUGGCAGAGCAUUGUGCUAGUAUUCCAAAGGUCGUAGGUUCGAUUCCCACCGUGGUCA